GGUAUAGCUCAGUGGUAGAGCGCAUGCUUAGCAUGCCUGAGGUCCUAGGUUCAAUUACCAGUACC
rnacentral:tRNA from 1 species